rnacentral:lncRNA from 1 species
GAAAAGCCUCAUUUGCAUUUCAUCAACUACACUCCCUCUUCUCCCUACCUAUUCUGCCACGUGCAUGGAAAUAGUCAAGGAGUGUGCCAUUUCCUCUUACAUCACUGGAGUCAGAAAGUUGUGACCAUAGCUGCUUUCUUUUGGAGCUAUGUUCAUGCUGCAUUUGAGCAAAGUACUGCAACAGUAGCACAGUUUUGUAUGUGGAUGACUUGCCUUUGUACUUUUUCAGCCAUGGAAAAAGAUCCCCACUGCAGCAUCAGCCUUAUUUGUUCUCCAUCUCAUUUGCUGCCAAUAUAUGAGAGUAGCCCAGGCACUCGAGAAGCCCACAAAGAAAACAAAAAUGAGGAGUCUCAGCCGAGGUAAGAAGAGUAACUAAACUGAGAUAAGGUGAACCAGAAAAAUACAGCUAUUAAAAAAAAAAAAAAAAAAAAAACGAAAAAGGGCUAUGUGCAGUGGUUUCUUGUGUGCAGCCCUUGAGGAUCCUAUUUGGCAAAAGUCAAGUUCUCUCUCCAUUUCUAUGCUUACUAGUAUUCUUCAGAUAGCUCUACCCUCUUCCUGUAAUCUCUUUCUCCUUGGAUUUCCAUUAUCAUGUUCUUCUGGUUCACCUUAGCUUUUGUUAGGCUUUUUUUUUUUUUUUUUCCUUCUUCAAAGAGACCUUAUGAGGCAAAAAAUAAUUAGAAAUGCAAAAAUAUAGAGAAAAGGCUUGCAGAUUUUGACCAAAGGCAAGUGCUUUCAUGUAGAUCUUGUAAGUUUUCUUUAUAAAGAAAGCCUUUUAGUUUUCAGAUUUGUGAUUGUGCAGUGUGUAAAUGUGAAAGAGACUGUUGAUAAAGAAGAUUGGGAAG